rnacentral:rRNA from 1 species
AGUGGACGCUGGCGGUAGGCCUAACACAUGCAAGUCGAACGGCAGCACAGUAAGAGCUUGCUCUUACGGGUGGCGAGUGGCGGACGGGUGAGGAAUACAUCGGAAUCUACUUUUUCGUGGGGGAUAACGUAGGGAAACUUACGCUAAUACCGCAUACGACCUACGGGUGAAAGCAGGGGAUCUUCGGACCUUGCGCGAUUGAAUGAGCCGACGUCGGAUUAGCUAGUUGGCGGGGUAAAGGCCCACUAAGGCGACGAUCCGUAGCUGGUCUGAGAGGAUGAUAGGCCACAUGGGAGGUGAGACACGGUCCAGGCGCCUGAGGGAGGCAGCAGUCGGGAAUGGGGGACAAUGGGCGCAAGCCUGAUCCAGCCAUACCGCGUGGGUGAAGAAGGCCUUCGGGUUGUGAAGCCCGUUUGUUGGGAAAGAAAAGCAGCAGGUUAAGACCCCGCUGGUCUGACGGUACCCAAAGAAUAAGCACCGGCUAACUUCGUG